GUGCGGUGAAAAAAAGCAACGCUUUUUAAACGUUGGCUCAGCCAACGGCCCCUUCAGGGGUGAAGAAGCGAACAGGUGAGCUUAUGAAUAAAAAUUAUCGU
rnacentral:ncRNA from 1 species